rnacentral:sRNA from 1 species
GCUGGGUGCAGAAUGGCUCACCUGUAAUCCUAGUGGUUUGGGAGGCUGAGGCAGGAGGUUCACAAGUUCAAGGCCUGCAUCAGGAACUUAGUGAGGCCCUAAAAUCUUAGUGAGACUCUGUCUCAA